rnacentral:rRNA from 1 species
UUUUUUGAGAAUUUGAUCCUGGUUCAGGAUGAACGCUGGCGGCGUGGAUAAGGCAUGCAAGUCAAACGGUCCUCUGAAACUCGCAAGAGCGGAGGAGGGCAGUGGCAGACGGGUUACUAAUACAUGGGUAACAAGCCCUGGAGACGGAGAUAAUCCGCCGAAAGGCGGACUAAUAUCCGAUAGCCUCCGACGUAAUGUCGGAGUAAAGGCGCAAGCCACUUCAGGAUUGGCCCAUGGCCUAUCAGCUAGUUGGUAGGGUAAUAGCCUACCAAGGCUAUGACGGGUAGGGGGUGUGAGAGCAUGAUCCCCAACAGGGACACUGAGACACGGGUCCCACUCCUACGGGAGGCAGCAGUCGAGAAUAUUCGACAAUGGGCGAAAGCCUGAUCGAGCGACGCCGCGUGCGGGACGAAGGCCUUCGGGUUGUAAACCGCUUUUCUGGGGGAAGAAGUCCGACGUAACGUCGGACUGACGGUACUCCAGGAACAAGGGGUGUCUAAACUCGUGCCAGCAGAAGCGGUAAUACGAGUACCCCAAGCGUUAUCCGGAAUUACUGGGCGUAAAGCGUCCGUAGACGGUCUUGUAAGUUUCUUGUUAAAGACUCCGGCUCAACUGGAGAAAUGCGGGAAAAACUACAAGACUAGAGGAUGGAAGAGGUUGAUGGAACUCACGGUGUAGGGGUGAAAUCCGUUGAUAUCGUGGGGAACACCGAAAGCGAAGGCAGUCAACUAGGACAUUCCUGACGUUGAAGGACGAAAGCGUGGGGAGCGAUACGGAUUAGAUACCCGUGUAGUCCACGCCCUAAACGAUGCUGACUAGUUAUCUGGAGUGUCGACCCUCCGGGUGACAAAGCUAACGCGUUAAGUCAGCCGCCUGGGGAGUACGGCCGCAAAGCUAAAACUCAAAGGAAUAGACGGGGGCUCGCACAAGCGGUGGGCCACGUGGCUUAAUUCGACGACAAACGAAGAACCUUACCAGGGAUUGACAUGCCAAGAUGUACCCUGAGAGAAAUCGAAGGGGACCGUUAAUUCGGAGCUUGGCACAGGUGCUGCAUGGUUGUCGUCAGCUCGUGCCGUGAGGUGUACCCUUAAGUGGGAUAACGAGCGUAACCCUUAUUCUGUGUUUUAAGUGUCACAGAAGACCGCCCCGCCCUUUAUGCUGUAUGGCAAAGUGAUAUUUAGCAAUAUAAAUUACUAAAAGCUUUGUUAGUUCUGUUAGAGAUUGCAUAGAGCUUAGAGGGCGGGGAGGAAGGUGGGGAUGACGCCAAAUCAGCAUGGCCCUUAUGCCCUGGGUUGCACACGUGGUACAAUGGCCGGUACAAUGGGCUUGCAAACCCGCGAGGGGGAGCUAAUCCCAUCAAAACUGGUCUCAGUUCGGAUUGAGGUCUGCAACUCGACCUCAUGAAGGUGGAAUCGCUAGUAAUCGCGGAUCAGCUACGCCGCGGUGAAUAUGUCCCCGAGCCUUGUACUCACCGCCCGUCACACCAGGGAAGUCAGUAGUACCCAAAGUAUCACUUUCGUGGUAUCAAGGUAAGAUUGAUAACCAAGGUGAAGUCGUAACAAGGCAUCCCUAGGGGAACCUGGGGAUGGAACAUAUCAUUU